AGCAAACGCCUGACCUAGAUCCAUACGAAAUUUAGACCUCGGGAUGCUUGACAGAUAAGGAAAGUUAAUAAUUUGUGAUUGAAGUAUCUUCAAGUAGCCAUUGGUGAGAAGUAUGCAGAUGAAAGUGCUGUUAGAAUUUUAAAAAUUUAUUUGAGAAAGUAUAGCCUUUGGUUAUCUGGGAUAGAAGGGCCGGGGCCGGCAGGAAAACCUUCACACAGCCCAACAAGUAUGAUGAGAAGCUGCCGGGAGCAACUCUUUCUACCUUGGAGCCAUGGAAGGCGAGCGAGGGUACGCCCAGGUGAGGGGGUUUGACGCCAACAUGGUAGACGUUAAUCCUGUCAUAAGACAUCCCAGGUGAGCCACUGGCCGGAAGCACGACGGGAAGCCCCGUCAGCAGGAAGGGUUAGGCCCUGAACGGAGGAGCCAGCACGUAGCGCCUUCCUCGGUGGUGCUUCAUGGGCAGCUGAGGGAACCGAGUCAGGGAGUCCACUGACUGUUUCCCUAAGUUCACAUGUGCAGAUACCGGAGGAAGAAUAUCACCAGAGCGUAUUUUUUUUAAAGCUCCACUGAGCAACUCGAGGGCAGAUCUGCAUGUUCUUCACUUCCGUAUCCCCAGCGCCUCUCCAGGGCUUUUGAGGUGCCAGGCACUAAAUAAAUAUGGACUGAGAGAAAUGACUGCUGUAUAAAAACCACGCAUACAGAUUUGAAUAAGGAUUCUGGAGGUUUGAAUGGGGUUGGGAGAAACUCUAUUUUGAUUCAAAACAUAACCUGUAGCUUAGAUGGUAGUCCCCACGCCCCGGAAGUUCUCCUUCCAGCAAUGGCAGGCACGGAGCCCAACUGCAGAGUUGGUCAAGUUUAUCUUUGAAAACCUUCCCUGUAGGAUUUCUCCAUUUCUAGGCUCAUUCCUGCUUCUUCAAAACAGAACUUACACUAUCAGUAAUUUACAAGUCGCUGUGACUGAGUCACCCUCAAGUAUCACCAGGGUCUUCAGGGAUGUGUCCAGCUCAGCCUUGUUUAGGAGACGCUUUGCUCCACCGUAAGUGCCAUUCCCAGUGAGCAGCUGAUAGGGGGGACCGAGGGCCGAGAGCCCCGCACUCAGGCGCCCGUGCCACUGACUACCCUGGCAUGCUAUGGCUGGGAGCUGGUAGGAGCAGUGUCCAAGGGGUAAGUAAUUUGCAAAGUACUAUAAUGUCAUCAGUUAUUGACUUCUAGGCGAUAUUGGACUCAGCCCUAUGUUCAGUAUUUGCAGACAUUAGCAAAAGUCCUUUCCAUCAAGUUUUCCUUGAGAACUGGCACUAAUUCUAUUUUUUUAGGAGCCCCGAUG